AGUGAACGCUGGCGGUAGGCCUAACACAUGCAAGUCGAACGGCAGCACAGUAAGAGCUUGCUCUUACGGGUGGCGAGUGGCGGACGGGUGAGGAAUACAUCGGAAUCUACUUUUUCGUGGGGGAUAACGUAGGGAAACUUACGCUAAUACCGCAUACGACCCACGGGUGAAAGCAGGGGAUCUUCGGACCUUGCGCGAUUGAAUGAGCCGAUGUCGGAUUAGCUAGUUGGCGGGGUAAAGGCCCACCAAGGCGACGAUCCGUAGCUGGUCUGAGAGGAUGAUCAGCCACACUGGAACUGAGACACGAUCCAGACUCCUACGGGAGGCAGCAGUGGGGAAUAUUGGACAAUGGGCGCAAGCCUGAUCCAGCCAUACCGCGUGGGUGAAGAAGGCCUUCGGGUUGUAAAGCCCUUUUGUUGGGAAAGAAAAGCAGCAGGUUAAUACCCCGCUGUUCUGACGGUACCCAAAGAAUAAGCACCGGCUAACUUCGUG
rnacentral:rRNA from 1 species